rnacentral:rRNA from 1 species
GGCGGCGUGCCUAAUACAUGCAAGUCGAACGGUCUUUCUAUGGAAGCUUGCUUCACUGAGAAGAUAGUGGCGAACGGGUGAGUAACACGUGGGUAACCUGCCCAUAAGAGGGGGAUAACAUCCGGAAACGGGUGCUAAUACCGCAUAGUUUUCUUGAUCGCAUGAUCGGGAAAGGAAAGACGGCCUUUGUGCUGUCGCUUAUGGAUGGACCCGCGGCGUAUUAGUUAGUUGGUGAGGUAACGGCUCACCAAGACGAUGAUACGUAGCCGACCUGAGAGGGUGAUCGGCCACAUUGGGACUGAGACACGGCCCAAACUCCUACGGGAGGCAGCAGUAGGGAAUCUUCCGCAAUGGACGAAAGUCUGACGGAGCAACGCCGCGUGAGUGAAGAAGGUCUUCGGGAAUCGUAAAACUCUGUUGUCAGAGAAGAACAAGUUGGAGAGUAACUGCUCCAGCCUUGACGGUAUCUGACCAGAAAGCCACGGCUAACUACGUGCCAGCAGCUGC